rnacentral:tRNA from 1 species
AUUUAAAUAGUUUAAAAAAAAAUAUUGAUUUGUGGAAUCAAUGAUAUAAUUUAAUUU